rnacentral:rRNA from 1 species
CAGCACCUCAAGUGGUCAGGAUGAUUAUUGGGCCUAAAGCAUCCGUAGCCGGCGCUGUAAGUUUUCGGUUAAAUCUGUACGCUCAACGUACAGGCUGCCGGGAAUACUGCAGCGCUAGGGAGUGGGAGAGGUAGACGGUACUCGGUAGGAAGGGGUAAAAUCCUUUGAUCUAUUGAUGACCACCUGUGGCGAAGGCGGUCUACCAGAACACGUCCGACGGUGAGGGAUGAAAGCUGGGGGAGCAAACCGGAUUAGAUACACGAGUAGUCC